AUUGAACGCUGGCGGCAGGCCUAACACAUGCAAGUCGAACGAGUGGCGGACGGGUGAGUAAUGUCUGGGAAACUGCCUGCUGGUGGGGGAUAACUACUGGAAACGGUAGCUAAUACCGCAUACCAUCAGAUGUGCCCAGAUGGGUUUAGCUUGUUGGUGGGGUAACGGCUCACCAAGGCGACGAUCCCUAGCUGGUCUGAGAGGAUGACCAGCCACACUGGAACUGAGACACGGGCCGGACUACUACGGGAGGGAGCAGAGGGGAAUAGUGCAAAAUGGGCGCAAGCCUGAUGCAGCCAAGCCGCGUGUAUGAAGAAGGCCUGCGGGUUGUAAAGUACUUUCAGCGGGGAGGCGUUACCCGCAGAAGAAGCACCGGCUAACUCCGUGCCAGCAGCCGCGGUAAUAC
rnacentral:rRNA from 1 species